rnacentral:lncRNA from 1 species
UUCUAAUUACUAUGGUAUUUCUUUCCAUUCUUCCACAGUUGAACUCUUCAAAAAUGGUGUCUCUUGGAUUCCUUCCUUGAUCUCAUCUUUGCUACCAUCACCUUAGACAGAGCAAGUCUGUUCUCAGUCAUUCCAAGAAAUAAGCAGAGGCAGAGCUUUAUCAUCUUUAUGGCCACCAACUGCUAUAAUUCAAGGUCAAAUCCCUUUGCCCUCUGCUCAGAGGAUCCUUUGUGACUCAUGAUCCACCCAUUCCCAGAACUGAGGUGAGAACAGAUUUUGUAAGUGAAGUCUUGCCAGUAUUUUGUCAUUUUAUACAUAGCUCCAUUCUUCAGUAUGCAGCUGUAGCCUAAUUAACCUGGACUACAAUUCUUCUUGUUCUUUUUUAUAUUUCUUUUUAUUCUGAAGUUAAUGAACACCAAAUAAAAUGAAUAUUUACAUAUGCUUAGUAUAACA